ensembl:lncRNA
GGGACGGUGGGGACUUCCUCCGAACAGGUGAUGAAGACGACUUUCGGAACAGGGAAUCCUUAGGCUGAGAGUCAAAGGAUAAAACGAUCAUCCCGUGGGAGGGAAGCAGUGGCAGGACAAUGAAGCUCUUACCGGUAUUGUGCUGCACUACCCACACGCUCAUUGUGGAAAAAGUGAAAAACACUUUCUUCUUGGCCACGGGGCAUGUGAGAUCUUAGUUCCCUACCAGGGAUCUAGCUAGGGUCCACGACAUUGAAAGCGCAUAGGCCUAACCACUAGACCACCAGGGAACCCCCUACAAGUACCUUAAUUUUAAAUUAGAUUUCAAGAGUAACAAGCCAAAGGAAUUUUUACAAAUCACUUUUAAUACCGUCGUCCUCUACCAAACAUCAUUAUUUUAGUAAUUUUUAUUUUCCCAUACGCUCGCACACACGCCUAUCUAUAGAGCUGUCAGAAUGUGCGAACGGCGUGGGAAGACAAUUUUCCCCUAACAGAGGUCUCUGGGCAACGGCCUUGCACCGCACCCCCGCAGCACUCUGCGGCGAGGUUCCGGGAUACUCCAUGCGGCCUCGCCGCGGUGGGGUAUUCUGACGUCUUCCUCACGUCCCGGCACAACUUUGGCUUUCCGGAUCUCUACGCCACAGAACGGCUGGGCGCGCCCGGGUUAAGGCUCUUCCCCUCACUCUUCCCUCUUUCUCUGUCUUUCCCUCAGUCUAGGGCUGCCGGCGGAGAAGGCAAUGGCACCGCACUCCAGUACUCUUGCCUGGAAAAUCCCACGGAUGGAGGAGCCUGGUAGGCUGUAGUCCACGGGGUCGCUAUGAGUCGGACACGACUGAGCGACUUCACUUUCAUGCACUGGAGAAGGAAAUGGCAACCCACUCCAGUGUUCUUGCCUGGAGAAUCCCAGGGACGGGGGAGCCUGGUGGACUUCCGUCUAUGGGAUAGCACAGAGUCAGACACGACUGAAGCGACUUAGCAGCAGCAGGGCUGCCGGAAUUCCUCACCUCCCACGUACUUCAGUCACGUAGCACCGGCAGCUGAGGGUGCGCCGACAAACUGACGACAGCUCUACAGGCAGCCCCCUCCCACUCCCGGGCCUCGCCAAACCUCGCGAUACCGUACCCCUCCCGCAGCCUGGCUGUCCAAACGGCUCAGCGGACCUGGAACCUUCUAAACCCCUGCGCACGCGCCCUAUGGCCCCUAACGUCCUGGUUCCGC